UAUCCAGAACAUCUCCUUCCUUUUUAGUUACUCAAACCCGAUAACAAGAAUGUGGGUCAUCCAAAUUUGUGCGUCUUCAGAAAAGGUGGGUCUUCCUUCUUAGUGAUGGAGGAAGCACAAGCCUUCAAUUCAACUCCACAUUUGGAUUCCUUUUGUAGAUUGAAGGAGGGGCUCAUGCAAAUGUAUUUCUUUAGAAGGCCUCUUCAAAAGGAUCUUUCUCUUGCAAGCAUCCACAACGGGUUCUAGAUCCAUAGGUGACAGGGUUGUGUGCUCUACCUUCAACAAGAUGAAUUUCUUCCUGUUCCUUUUCUUCUAUCUGGUGGCCAUUUUCAGCCGUACUUUAGCCAGCAUACAACUCGUAUCUUCUGGCCCAGCCACAGUGAGACCCGGAGAAAGCCUCAGACUGGUUUGUAAAGUGACAGGAGUCUCUCUGACUGAUUCAUCUUAUAUUUGGAACUGGAUCCGACAGCCUGCUGGGAAAGGCCUGGAAUGGGUUGCAAGAAUAUACCCCUAUGAUGGGAGAACCUGGUUUGCCUCUUCUCUUCGGAGCCGUACAACUAUCUCUUCAGAGACUUCCAAAAGUGAAUUCUAUCUCCAGCUGAACUCCGUUGUAGCUGCUGACUCAGCUGUGUAUUUCUGUGCCCGAGAUGCACAGUGAAGUAAGGUUAACAGAAGCUCUGUACAAAAACCAGGAAGUUGAAUUC